UGGGGAAUCUUGCGCAAUGGGCGAAAGCCUUACGCAGCCAUGCCGCGUGAAUGAUGAAGGUCUUAGGAUUGUAAAAUUCUUUCACCGGGGACGAUAAUGACGGUACCCGGAGAAGAAGCCCCGGCUAACUUCGUGCCAGCAGCCGCGGUAAUACGAAGGGGGCUAGCGUUGCUCGGAAUUACUGGGCGUAAAGGGAGCGUAGGCGGACAUUUAAGUUAGGGGUGAAAUCCCGGGGCUCAACCUCGGAAUUGCCUUUGAUACUGGGUGUCUUGAGUGUGAGAGAGGUAUGUGGAACUCCGAGUGUAGAGGUGAAAUUCGUAGAUAUUCGGAAGAACACCAGUGGCGAAGGCGACAUACUGGCUCAUUACUGACGCUGAGGCUCAAAGCGUGGGGAGCAAACAGGAUUAGAUACCCUGGUAGUCCACGCCGUAAAACGAUGAUUGCUAGUUGUCGGGAUGCAUGCAUUUCGGUGACGCAGCUAACGCAUUAAGCAAUCCGCCUGGGGAGUACGGUCGCAAGAUUAAAACUCAAAGGAAUUGACGGGGGUCAUAGCGUUU
rnacentral:rRNA from 1 species